AGUCAAGUCUGUAUGCUCUAACAAUUAAACACAUUUGAACAAAUUGUACUUCAAUUGUACUUCAAACUAUAUGAACUCAACAUAGUUCUAUUGGUGUCAGAAUGUUUUAAUGUUUCAAUAUUUUCUAGAGGCUUAAUGAAGAGGCAGGCAGCCUAGGAGAGAUAAAGAUGUUCUAGGCCUGGUUAUACAAUCCAGCUAGGGUGUCAAAAGGAAACAACCACGCCAUAUCCUUAGUGGUUUGGAGCAGUGGUGUGUGGGGUGGGCUGGAUUACCUUUUUACAGGUUUACUCUUCUAAAAACAUCUACUCAGCCCUACACGAUUCAUGUCUGUUGAGUUGGAACAUUGAACUUCAAUGGAGUUGGACAUGCGGUUUCUCAUCUGCAUACUCGACUUGGCCUCGAUUGGUUGACCCGUCAUCAUAUGUUGGUUGUUUGUUGUUCUUAAAGAGCUUUGAGAUUCUAUGAAAAGCACUAUAGAAGUUUAAUGACUUAUACAUGUGCAACAUAAUUCAUAUAUCGACCAUAACUGCAGCCAUGUAAGAACAUAGAAAUCAUCGACUUUUCCCAGUCAGUGUCUCUGAACCCGAAAAUGCACAAACAGUGCAUUUAACAACUCAAAGACGGGAAUAACAUUUGCCACAAAAUGUUUCCAGUCAGUAUCCAAAUGACCCAACCCUUUCAAAACAAAACAUCCAACAACAAGCAACUGAGAAGCAAGUCAAGCAGCCUUUUGGCCUUACAUGGGGUUUAGAACUAUUUGUUUAGAAAAGGGGAAGAGGUGGCGGGAUGGGGUUUGGAGCUGUGACUCGUGACAGGCUAGUACAGACAGACAGGACAUAGUAGGGCAGUAGUAGGCAUUAAACAUCUGACAGACGGUUUGUGAAACAAUGACAUGGCUGUUAGAAACUUUGCAGAUGUCAUCCCCAUCAACAAUAAGCUCUUUCUGCUGUAUACACUAACUGCCAUGUGCUACAGUAGUGCCAAGAAGCUGGACAAUUGUGUUGAACCCUGUAGCUGGACAAGAUGUGCUCCUGCUUCAACUCAACCAGAGGAAUUCCUACAGUCACCUGAAAACGCAUACAAUGAGGAUAGGACAUACACCAAAUUCAGAAACUCUGAGGCCCUGUAAAAACCCAUUUAGCAUUUAACAUAGGAAUACUCCUCCCUAUCACGCAUAGGAAAACAUGACUCCACGAAGCAUAGCAGGAUUAUGACAACAGUUACAGUUACGGCAUGACAAGAUUCAAACUCACUCAUACAAAAACAAGACAUGUUCAGUGACCUUUAUGACAAAAGUAUGUGUAAGCUAAACCCUGGAGGUGAUGAUAACAUAUCAGAAUGUAAUUUCAGUUGACCGCUGACUGAUGAUUAUGGACCACUGCAAAAAACAGAGGGCCCAGUCUCUAAACACACACUAAAACGCACCACACAAGCAACAGUCAACACAACUGCUAAGGGGGAGUUGACCCCUGCCAAGACUGAGUGACAAAUGGUUGAAACUAGCCACAACAAUGCAUUUCAGCAAUGUUACCUUAAACCAGCCAGAAAUACUGUCAUUGAUAGUAGCUUGACUAAAUUCUAAGACAGCCACAGCAGCAAACAAAUGGAAGCUACAGGAGAGUAAGUACACUUGUACUGUGACUAUAAAAUGGGUAACUAGUUCAGAACUUCACUAUGCUUCAUCCUAAAAAUGUGGGCAAGUGCCACUGCCUGGAGGGCAGAGCAGAGAACAGGGUAUUUGGCUAGCUCUACUGCAGCUAGCGAACUGCCCUUCAUCCCUUGAAAUUUGACAGAUGGGAUGUAUACUGGCAAACUCAGUUGGGGUUAGGAUUUUUGGGUCCCACUGGCGUGAUGUCACAGUGGCUAAGGCAGGGAUGUACUGUGACCUGAAUUUGAGGCCAAAUCAACAGAGAGGACAACAGCAGAAAGCAAACACAGGUUCCAAGACAGCUCAGGAGUGGCAUCGGUACAAGUCUCUGAAUGUACUUGAGUGGCCCAGCCAAAGUCCGAUCGAAGAUCUCUGGAGAGACCUGAAAAUAGUGGUGCAGCAACACUCCCCAUCCAACCUGACAGAGCUUGAGAGGAUCUGCAAAGAAGAAUGGGAGAAACUUCCCAAAUACAGGUGUGCCAAGCUAAUAGCAUAUGCAAGAAUACUCUAUGCUGUAAUCGCUGCCAAAGGUGCUUCCGCAAAGUACUGAGCAAAGGGUCUGAAUACUUACGUA